AACGUAGGUGACAAGCGUUAUCCGGAUUUACUGGGCGUAAAGCGCGUUCAGGCGGUUUGGCAAGUCGGGCAUGAAAUCUCCUGGCUCAACCAGGAGGGGCUGUCCGAUACUUCCAGACUUGAGGGCAGUAGAGGGUGGUGGAAUUCCGGGUGUAGUGGUGAAAUGCGUAGAUAUCUGGAGGAACACCGGUGGCGAAGGCGGCAUCCUGGACCGGCAUUGACGCUGAGGAGCGAAAGCCAGGGGAGCAAACGGG
rnacentral:rRNA from 1 species